UACAGAGGGGGCGAGCGUUAUUCGGAAUUAUUGGGCGUAAAGGGCGCGUAGGCGGCUUUGCAAGUGACGGGUGAAAUCCCUCGGCUUAACCGAGGAACUGCCUGUCAGACUGUAAGGCUUGAGACCGGGAGAGGUGAGUGGAAUUCCCAGUGUAGCGGUGAAAUGCGUAGAUAUUGGGAGGAACACCAGUGGCGAAGGCGGCUCACUGGACCGGAACUGACGCUGAGGCGCGAAAGCGUGGGGAGCAAACAGG
rnacentral:rRNA from 1 species